AUGGUUCUAAAUCUACAGGUAUCUCCAGCCAUUCUCUCCUACUUCCCACCUUUUGCAAAGACCAGCUUUUCUCCACCAAAGCCAGGAGAGCUGAAGGAGCAGAGGGGGCUUUGCCGGGGCUGUAGCCGGAAGUGCUCCAGGGCAGGGAGAGAGCGGGAGAAACAUCAGGCCUACCCCCCACUGACCAUCCAUAGGGAUCAGCAGGGCGGAGAGGGGAGUAGGGGACCCACAGAAGAACCACACAGCCCCUGAGAAGACAUGGGGCGGAGGUCACCUUGGAAGAGUCUUUAGUGGGGAGCAGCCCCGAGUCACCAUCCCCUCCCCCAUCCGGGCCCAGGGGCAGCAGUCCACUCUUCCCAGUUCUCUGAGGCAGAUACUUGGUGUUUUUUUUGUCUUGUGUCUUUUCGGGGCCGCACCUGAGGCACAUGGAGGUUUCCAGGCUAGGGGUCUAAUCAGAGCUACAACUGCCGGCCUACACCACAGCCACAGCAAUGCAGAAUCCGAGCCACGUCUGUGACCUACACCACAGCUCAUGGCAACACCAGAUCCUUAACCCACUGAGCGAGGCCAGGGACCGAACCCGCAACCUCAUGGUUCCUAGUCAGAUUCAUUUCUGCUGUGCCACGAUGGGAGUUCCUGAGGCAGAUACUUGUAUUAACCCCAUUUACAGAUGGGGAAACUAAGGUUCCGAAAAGUAAAACAGAUCAACAAAAUCUUGCCUAAGGGCACAGGGCAGAAUUAGGAUUCAAACCAAGGGGGCCUGAUGCCAAAGCUACCCAACCACUAAGCUUUACUGCCACAUCCUCCUAAGGCUCGUGGGCACCUCAGGACUGGGUGCCCUUGACCCGGGAGCAGGCAGCAAAUAAUUCCUGAGUUGUGUGGAAUGCAGUUAGUCAACCUAGAGUCAGAGGUUGGAGGAGGGGAGAGGGGGUGGCAUCAGGCAGAUCCCAGUUUGAAUCCCACCCNNNNNNNNNNNNNNNNNNNNNNNNNNNNNNNNNNNGGGACUCUGAAGUCUCACCUCUCUGGGUCUCAGUUUCCUCAUCUGUAAAAUGGCGUCAGUGCUGCCCUUGC
ensembl:lncRNA